GAAGAAAAGAAGGAAAGAAGGAAAGAAAGAAAGGAAUAAAGGAAGUGGUGACCUUAGGUUAAGAUCCCAUCCAGCUAAGUUUCCAGCUGGUGAAAAGGAACUAAAGAAAAGCUUAGAGCCGGGUGUAGUUGGGCUGUUGGAUCUCUGAGUUUGAGACCAGCCUGGUCUAGAGAUCCAGUUUCAGGACAGUCAAGUUUAAGCAGUGAAGGACAGAAAGCUGGUGAAGAUGUAACUGAGUGAAAGGGCCAUGCUCCAGCCCCAGUAAGCAGCAGAACUUGGCAGCUUCAACCACAUGGUUCUGGCUAGAGUUAAGGACAGAAGAAAAAGGCUAUGGAGUUUGCUUUGGAGAUUAAGAAAAGCAGCUGAAGCCAGAUACAUGUCGGAAGUGUCCUUGAAUGGAGCCUAGAAAGGCCAUUGCGUGAAGCUGUGAAGUUGAAGCCUUGAUUGCCUUGGGGAACCCAAGAUGUUAGAGAUGUCAGAGUCAUGGGGUUCCUGCUGAGGAGAGCUGCUAACAGGGAGUAGAGCCAGCCCAAGAGAAAGAAGUGUGUUGCAGUCAGCAAAGCUAAAAGGGGUUGGAGAUCUGAAUCCCGUUUUGAAAUCAGACAUGAAGAUGCAGAGUUUGGAGUUUGCACAGCUGGUUUUCAGUCUUGCUUUGGCCCAGUAUUUCCUAACUAUGCUCCCUUCCCUGUGUUUUGGAAAGGCAAUGUAUAUCCUGUACCAUUAUGUGUUGGAAGUAUGUCUUCUUUUUAAUUUUGAUUUUAUAAAGGAUGGCAGCUAAGAAUGUGCAUGAAUCUCAUGAGACCUUGAACUGUGGACUUUAAAACAUUGUUGAGACUGUGAUAGACUAUGGGGACUUCUGAAGUUGUACUAAAUGCAUUUUGCAUUGUGCUAUUGUUACAAGUUUAUGGGGGCCAGGGAGUCAAAUGUGGCAGUUUGAAUGUAAUUGUCCUCCAUAAUCACAUAGGGAGUGACACUAUUAGGAGGGGUGGCCUUGUUGGAGUGGGUAUGGCCUUGUUAGAGGAAGUGUGUCACUGUGGGGACAGGCUUGGAAGUUCCCAUGCUCAGGAUACUGUCCAGUGUCUCAGCCAGCUUCCUGUUGCCUGCAAGAUAUAGGACUCUCAGCUACUACUCCAGCAUCACAUCUGCCUGUGCACUGUCAUUCUCCCCAUCAUGACAAUAAUGUAUUGAACUUCUGAAUGAACACAGACACCUGGACAGCCAGCCCAUGGCACAAGACUUAUAACAUUGGUAACAGGAUGUGGAGAACAUCAUUCAAGGUCAGUAUAACUGAAAAUUAGGAAGCAGAAGUUGGAAAUUACCAGUGAUUGCCCAACAACCUGACACUUCUGCCCAGCUGAGGUCCCCUCUACCACCACCACACUUAGCACAAUCAGAUCUCAGCCAAUCCCUUUUUCUAAUUUGAAAGGAAGCAUAGAGGACCAUGUCCAAGAGCCAAGGCAACUCUAACUCAUACAGAUCAACAGAGAUUUUUGUUCCCACAACAGAGGGAACUUGAUGGGGGUAUUUUACCAUCACACCUAAACCAAGAGAUGGGACCCAGACACCUUAGAGAGACACUUGAAAUCUUGAGGACCGGGCACAGCACAGGGUAGAUGGACAGACUCCUUUACUCAUGUCCGUGUCAGUGAGGCAAAGGAAUUCUCCAGACAGUUGUGGGCUAAGACCAAUAACUUUUAGGAGUCAGCCACUGGCAGUUCAUAAGAGAGAUGUCACAAACAUUUACACUGAUGGCCUAACAAACAGGGGAUUCCCUGCAUUUGUCUCACUUUGCCUAUUUGAAUAAAAUAAAAGGGGGGUCCACCUUGUGUUUUGAGACAGGGUCUCUCUCCAAACCGGAGCUCACCAGUUCAUGUAGGCUGGCUGGUCAGCAAAUUCCAAGGAGAUACUUGUCUUUGUCACCUCCUGCUCCCUCAGACAUCCUUCAACAUAUCUCUCUCCCACCUUCAUAGUCCCAUUUUUCAUUUUGUUUUGUUUUGUUUUUCGAGAUAGGGUUUCUCUGUGGCUUUGGAGGCUGUCCUGGAACUAGCUCUGGUAGACCAGGCUGGUCUCGAACUCACAGAGAUCCGCCUGCCUCUGCCUCCUGAGUGCUGGGAUUAAAGGCAUGUGCCACCACUGCCCGGCUUCAUAGUCCCAUUUUUUAAAAAAUAAUCCACUAAGUUCAAU
rnacentral:lncRNA from 1 species